rnacentral:lncRNA from 1 species
GUUUGGCGGGCGGUGCUCGCGCGCACUUGGGACGGGGUUUGAAUUCCGCUCAGCCUCAUUCAGCUCCCGGAGACCGCGGGCUGUGCGCUGAGCGGUGAGUUUGCGGCGGCAGGGGGAGGGGGAGCUAGGGGAAGGGAGGGAGUGUGUGUGGGCUGGGGGGCGGGCUCCGCAUCUGCCAGAGGAAGCGGGGUGGCUGGGCUGCGCGCUAAGGAGUCAAGGAGCCGUCCGGUCCGCGACACCCGGAUUCCCGUCCCGUGGACCUGGGACGCCGGCGGGUCUGGGGGUGGUGGCUCCGAGUUAGUGACUGGCCCGCCAGCAGGAGAGGCCUGUGCUGCACAGGAUACUGCAUCUCAGCACCGCAGAGCGCAGGGGGACCAUGGAGGUGAAGACCCAGCUACCUGACAAAGGAGUCCUGCCUUCUCAGAGCCCUGCUUCUACUUCAGAGAAGCUCUCCAAAAAGAAGGGGAAAAUGCCAGUCAGAUUCCUGCCGGCCUGGAGCACGGUAAGCCUUCUCCCUUUGACCAGAGGGCCCCUCAGUUCUGAGAGGUCAGGCGCAUCUGCCACUCUCUCUGCCCGGCAGAGACCCUCGGGUGGCAAGGGCCCCCCUUGCACCUCCACAAAAGGAUAUGGCCCCAUCCCGUGGGGACUGGAUUUCCUGGGCCUCUUUCCUGCCUUCUUCUCUUUCCUAAUU